AGCGGACCCGCGGUGCUCCCGGCCAGGCCGCAGGGGGCGGUCCAGGCCCCGCGCCUCUCGCCCCGGCGCAGGCGCCGCCGUGGGCCCGCGGCGGAGGGCAGCUCGCCCCGGGACGGCGGCUCCAUGCGCUGCCAGGUCUCGGUGCUGUAUUUCGCCAGGAGCGCAGAGCUGGCGGGGCUGCGCUGCGAGACCCUCUCGGUGCCACGGGAGAUCACCUCUCUGCAGCUCUGGGAGGAAAUCGUCAAGGUCCACCCCAGGCUUGCUCUCAUCCGGGAUCAAGUGGUAUUUGCUGUUCGGCAGGAGUACGUGCUUCUUGGAGAUCAGCUUCUGGUCCUGCACCCUGGAGACGAGGUUGCCAUCAUCCCACCAAUUAGUGGAGGCUGAACCUGCCCAGGUUCUGUUAGGUCUAAAGAUGUGAUUGCAAUUCUCUCCCUCCACCCCAAUACUCUUUUGAGAAAACCCAGCUUGUGUUUCUGUCUGUUUUUCUAUUGUGAUAUGGAAGAAAGCGAAGAUGUGCCAGAAGAUUUUAUCAAGCUCAAGUCUGAAAAGCUCUCUGUAGAUGAAGUGUCAGAGCUGGUUGUUUCACCAUACUGUGGGGCAGUGUCUCUGUUCAUUGGU